rnacentral:rRNA from 1 species
CCGGCGCACGGGUGAGUAACACGUAUCCAACCUGCCGUCUACUCUUGGACAGCCUUCUGAAAGGAAGAUAAUACAAGAUGGCAUCAUGAGUCCGCAUGUUCACAUGAUUAAAGGUAUUCCGGUAGACGAUGGGGAUGCGUUCCAUUAGAUAGUAGGCGGGGUAACGGCCCACCUAGUCUUCGAUGGAUAGGGGUUCUGAGAGGAAGGUCCCCCACAUUGGAACUGAGACACGGUCCAAACUCCUACGGGAGGCAGCAUG